GACGAACGCUGGCGGCGUGCUUAACACAUGCAAGUCGAACGGAAAGGCCCUGCUCUUGUGGGGUGCUCGUGUGGCGAACGGGUGAGUAUCACGCGAGUAUCCUCCCCUUGUCUUUGUGAUAUCUUCAGGAAACUGGGGCUAAUACCGGAUAUAAUCUCCUGCUCCAUGGUGGUGGUUGGAAAGUUUCGGUGGUUGGGGAUCGACUCGCGGCUUAUCAGCUUGAUGGUGUGGUAGUGGCUUACAAAGGUUUUGACGGGUAGCCGGCAUGAGAGGGUUAACGGCGACAUGGGGACUGAGAGACGGAGCAGAAUCGUACGGGAGGCAGCGGUGGAGAGUAUGGCGGAGUAGGCGGAAGCCUGAUACGGAAACGCCGCGUGCGGGAUGACGGCCUACGGGUUGUGAACAGCUGUCGAAGGUAACGAAGAGGGAGUGACGGUAAUGGGUAAAGAAGCACCGGCUAACUACGUG
rnacentral:rRNA from 1 species